CUUCCAGAUCUCUUAUCACUUUGGAGUGUCCAAGGUGCUUAUAGAAGAAGGAAGAGGUAAGCUGUCGAAGUUGUUCGCAGACUAGCAUCUCCGAGCCCCUGAUCUAUGCCAGUCUUCAUAUAGAUUUUCUAUAGAGGUCAAACAACUUUGUGUGACUGUGAGCAACUUGAGAAGCACACUUUCUAACUAUUGGAUUAGAGAAGAUCAAGAUCAAAAUUUAUUUGAUAACUAUCUC
rnacentral:lncRNA from 1 species